rnacentral:lncRNA from 1 species
AUCACCAUGGUGACUUACAAGCAACUUACUGUACUUUGAUGCCAGACUAUUUGAAUUUUUAAUUCAGUAAUAAAAGAUUUUUGAUGUAGUCAAGUACUUGUUAAGUCAGUGCGUGAGUCAAAAUAGGAUUGACCCCUCCGAAUAAGGAGUUAAUGUAUUAAUAUAUUUUAAUUUAGUAAAAUCUAGACUUGGAUAAUCUAUAUGGUAAAUUUGAAAGAUUGAAAUACAAUAUAGAUGACUUAUCUAAGCUUGAUAGUG